CGUAAUCAUUUGUCUUUUAAAUGAAGACCAGUAUGAAUGGCAUAACGAGGGCCAAGCUGUCUCCUUUUUCCAGUCAAUGAAAUUGAUCCCCCUGUGCAGAAGCAGGGACACAAACAUAAGACGAGAAGACCCUAUGGAGCUUAAGACACAAGACAGUUCAUGUUAAAAAACCAUAUUAAUGGAAAGAACCAAAUGACCCCUGUCCUUUUGUCUUUGGUUGGGGCGACCAUGGAGUAACGAAAAACCCCCAUGUGGAACAGGGCCCAGGCCCUUAAAGCUAGAGCCACAGCUCUAACAAACAGAACAUCUGACCUUCAAGAUCCGGCAAGACCGAUCAACGGACCGAGUUACCCUAGGGAUAACAGCGCAAUCCCCUUUUAGAGCCCAUAUCGACAAGGGGGUUUACGACCUCGAUGUUGGAUCAGGACACCCUAAUGGUGCAGCCGCUAUUAAGGGUUCGUUUGUUCAACGAUU
rnacentral:rRNA from 1 species